CACGUAGGGUGCGAGCGUUGUCCGGAAUUACUGGGCGUAAAGAGCUCGUAGGUGGUUUUGUCGCGUUGUUCGUGAAAAACUCACAGCUUAACUGUGGGCGUGCGGGCGAUACGGGGCAGACUGGAGUACUGCAGGGGAGACUGGAAUUCCUGGUGUAGCGGUGGAAUGCGCAGAUAUCAGGAGGAACACCGGUGGCGAAGGCGGGGU
rnacentral:rRNA from 1 species